GCCUGGCUGGCUCAGUUGGUAGAACGUGAGACUACUAAUCUCAGGGUCAGAGUUCGAGCCCCAUGUUGGGUG
rnacentral:tRNA from 1 species